GCGCCGAAGCGGGGGUACCGGCAUGAGCCGGUUGAGACAGUCCCUUCGAACCUGAUCCGGUUGAUACCGGCGUAGGGAAGCUUCGCAGAACCUGCC
rnacentral:ncRNA from 1 species